AAACGUAUACUGAAAUCUGGUAUACUUUUUAGCCACAGACCGUCGUGGCUAAAAGUAUAGUGAAAUCUAAUACACUUUUUAGCCACAGACCGCCGUGGCUAAAAAGUAUACUGAAAUCUGGUAUACUUUUUAGCCACAGGUCGCCGUGGCUAAAAGUAUAGUGAAAUCUAAUACACUUCUUAGCCACAGACCGCAUUGACUAAAAUUAUAGUGAAAUCUAAUACACUUUUUAGCCACAGACCGCCGUGGCCAAAAAGUAUACUGAAAUCUGGUGUGCUUUUUAGCCACAGACCGUCGUGGCUAAAAGUAUAGUGAAAUCUAAUAAACUUUUUAGCCACAGACCGCCGUGGCUAAAAAGUAUACUGAAAUCUGGUAUACUUUUUAGCCACAGACCGCUGUGGCCAAAAAGUAUACUGAAAUCUGGUAUACUUUUUAGCCACAGACCGUCGUGGCUAAAAGUAUGGUGAAAUCUAAUACACUUUUUAGCCACAGACCGCCGUGACUAAAAGUAUAGUGAAAUCUAAUACACUUUUAAGUCACAGACCGCCGUGGCUAAAAGGAUAGUGAAAUCUAAUACACUUUUUAGCCACAGACCGCCGUGGCC
rnacentral:lncRNA from 1 species